ACUGAAUAGAUACCCAGGUAGUCCCAGCCGUAAACGAUGCUCGCUAGGUGUCAGGCAUGGCGCGACCGUGUCUGGGUGCCGCAGGGAAGCCGUGAAGCGAGCCACCUGGGAAGUACGGCCGCAAGGCUGAAACUUAAAGGAAUUGGCGGGGGAGCACAACAACGGGUGAGCCUGCGGUUUAAUUGGACUCAACGCCGGACAACUCACCGGGGGCGACAGCACUAUGUAGGCCAGGCUGAAGACCUUGCCUGAAUCGCUGAGAGGAGGUGCAUGGCCGUCGCCAGUUCGUACUGUGAAGCAUCCUGUUAAGUCAGGCAACGAGCGAGACCCGUGCCCACUGUUACCAGCAUGUCCUCCGGGACGAUGGGUACUCUGUGGGGACCGCCGGUGUUAAAUCGGAGGAAGGUGCGGGCCACGGUAGGUCAGUAUGCCCCGAAUCUCCCGGGCUACA
rnacentral:rRNA from 1 species